GAUGAAGAACGUAGCGAAAUGCGAUAAGUAAUGUGAAUUGCAGUAUUCAGUGAAUCAUCGAAUCUUUGAACGCACCUUGCGCUCCUUGGUAUUCCGAGGAGCAUGCCUGUUUGAGUGUCAUGAAAUUCUCAACCUUUUCAGCUUUCUUUGUUGAUCAGGCUUGGAUGUGGGAGUAUGCGGGCUUCUCAGAAGUCGGCUCUCCUGAAAUGCAUUAGCGGGACCUUUGUUGCCUGGCUUUGGUGUGAUAAUUAUCUACGCCAUUGUAGUCAAGCAGCUUAAAAUGAGGUUUCAGCUUCUAACCGUCUCCCCUGAGACAACUUUUUGACAAUUUGACCUCAAAUCAGGUAGGACUACCCGCUGAACUUAAGCAUAUCAAUAAGCGGAGGA
rnacentral:misc_RNA from 1 species